UACGAAGGGUGCAAGCGUUACUCGGAAUUACUGGGCGUAAAGCGUGCGUAGGUGGUUUGUUAAGUCUGUCGUGAAAGCCCCGGGCUUAACCUGGGAAUUGCGAUGGAGACUGCAAGGCUUGAAUCUGGCAGAGGGGGGUAGAAUUCCACGUGUAGCAGUGAAAUGCGUAGAGAUGUGGAGGAACACCGAUGGCGAAGGCAGCCCCCUGGGUCAAGAUUGACGCUCAUGCACGAAAGCGUGGGGAGCAAACAGG
rnacentral:rRNA from 1 species